rnacentral:rRNA from 1 species
AAGGGGGGUUUGAUCCUGGGCUCAGAUUGAACGCUGGCGGCAUGCCUAACACAUGCAAGUCGAACGGCAGCACGAAAGAGCUUGCUCUUUUGGUGGCGAGUGGCGAACGGGUGAGUAACGCGUAGGAAUCUACCCCAGAGCGGGGGACAACCCGAGGAAACUCGGGCUAAUACCGUAUAAUCUCUGAGGAGCAAAGAGUGCCACUAUUUAUAAGCACUCACUUUGGGAUGAGCCUGCGUCCGAUUAGCUAGUUGGUAAGGUAAGAGCUUACCAAGGCGACGAUCGGUAGCUGUUCUGAGAGGAAGAUCAGCCACACUGGGACUGAGACACGGCCCAGACUCCUACGGGAGGCAGCAGUGGGGAAUAUUGGACAAUGGGGGCAACCCUGAUCCAGCAAUGCCGCGUGUGUGAAGAAGGCCUGCGGGUUGUAAAGCACUUUCAAUG